rnacentral:rRNA from 1 species
UCCGUAGGCGGCCCGGUAAGUCAGUGGUGAAAUCUCCCCGCUCAACGGGGAAACGGCCAUUGAUACUGCCGGGCUUGAAUAACCAGGAAGUAACUAGAAUAUGUAGUGUAGCGGUGAAAUGCUUAGAUAUUACAUGGAAUACCAAUUGCGAAGGCAGGUUACUACUGGUUCAUUGACGCUGAUGGACGAAAGCGUGGGUAGCGAACAGGAUUAGAUACCCUGGUAGUCCACGCCGUAAACGAUGGAUACUAGCUGUUGGGAGCAAUUUCAGUGGCUAAGCGAAAGUGAUAAGUAUCCCACCUGGGGAGUACGAACGCAAGUUUGAA